AAGAUGGAAAAUAAAAAAGAAGGAUUGAUUAUGAAUUCAAGAAUUUGUUGGAAAAAUAUCACUGUAUGUUUGAUUCUUAUUUGUUUUAACUAUAAUUUUAUUUAAAGUGGGGUUUUAUAAGGAUAAUAAAGGGGUACCAAUAGCUUCACUUAGAAAAUAGUUUCUGGUAUGAUGAUAUGAGCUUCAAGCAACCCUUAACUCUUGUUGUAACUUUUUAGUAUAAGUUAGGCCCAUAAGAUUUGAUAUGAUCACAUCAUAAUCCCCUAAAUUAAAAAGAUUUUAAUAUGUUUCAAUUUUUUUUCUUUUACUAAUUGUUGAAAAUAAAGAGCAGUAUAGAUAAGGAUAACAAUUUAUUUUUGUAAGCGUCAAGGCUUAACUUAAUUAUAACAUGAACGAAAAUAUUAAAACGGAAAUGUUACAAUUACCAGGAAAAGAAAUGUUACAAUUAUACUGAUUAUGAUUUUUUAACGAGUUAAUCCUUGAUGCUUAAUUUAUUUGAUUGAUUUACAAUAUAUUAUUAAGGAUUAACUCGUUGUCCAGGUGUUCUAUCAUAUUCAUGCCUAUUAGCCCUCUUCUUAAUCAAAAUACUAGUCGCAACUCUUCUUCUAUCAAGACUGUGUUUUGGCGUUCUCCAGGGGUUCCUUGGCUUGAGAUGAAUACGGAUGGUUUGGCUACGGGUAAUCCCAGAAUCUCGGUUUGUGGGCUUUUUUCAAGGCUUUAAUGGUGCUUUUACGAAGCCGCCUUACUGUGGCUCUGGGCCUUGUUAUGCUGAGAUUAAUGCCAUUCAAGCUGUUAAUAUUGCUCUUUCCAUGGGAUGGCAAUUUGUUUGGCUGAAGAGGGAUUCAAAUCUGCUAACUCUUGCUUAUUUGCAGAACUCUCUUUUUCAUCUGCCGGGGCAACUCGUACUUUGUGGUUGAACUGUCUAUAACAGAUCAGUCAUAUGUAGUUUCGUAGUCAUAUUAAUUUUGAAGGGUAAUUCGGUUGCUGAUUGCUUAGGAAAGGCGGGGUCUAACUGAUUCGAGGCCCUUGGUGAACUUUUUUUUACUUACGUUAAACAACAUCAAUUCCCAAAGGAAUAUUAAAUAGCUUAUAAUUCAACUAUCUUUAAUAAUAUAUUGAAUUUCAACAAUUAUCAACAUGAUCCUAAAAAAAAAAAAAGAUAUAUAUUUAUUGUGAUCAUCUUCAAAGUUGAUUAUUUCAUUCACUAUUUCAUUAUUGUUUAAUUCAUUUGAAGUUAAUCGUUCAAUAACAAAUUCUUCACUUAAAUACAUAUCUUUUCUUACUAGCAGUGAAAAAUUUAUCAAGAGCUCGUUUUUGAGAUUUAACUAAUUUUUCUGUUCUCCUUUUUUAAAAAUUUUUUUUUUGUACCUUUUCAUAUUCUGAUGCUUAUUUUCUAGUUGACAUGCUUUUCAAAUCUAAAUAACAAACAAAUAGACAAAUAGACAAAUACACAUUUUCUUUUCUAGAUUAUUCGAGCCAUAUAUCAAUACCAAAAAUAAAAAUAAAUUAAAUUUAAAAAAGAUAAGAAUAGUAACAAUUAAAAAUAGAAUUGUUGAUACCACUUGGCAAGUUGACUAGUUGAGACGAAUAAAAUGAUUAGAUGAUGACAAUAAAUUUCGUACAAAAGAAUUUUCUUUGUAGAGAGGAGAGUAACAAAUUGUUUAGUUGAGAAUAUCAUUGAUUCACUAUCUAUUUGCUUUGGGUUUUUUAAUAGAUUUUGAUAGAAUACUAAGAGUUAGUUCUAAAAUAUAAGGUUAAUAAUUUUAAUAGAGUAAUUUUUGGAAACAGAAGGCAUUGAAUUUUUUUUUUAAAUAAAGAAGUAACAUCAAUUAAAGUCUUUCCUGUGACUAAGAAAGGUCUCCCUAGCCUAUGUACCUUUGAACGAAAUAAAAGUGGCGAAUUUUGACUGUUUAAUCUCUUAGAGCUUUGGUUAUGACUGAGGAGUUAUAUCUUGGGGGAAAAAAGCUACCUUGACAGGGAUAAAAAAAUUUAUUUGAAAAAAAAAUGAAAUACUUCAAUCAACCAUGACAAUAUUCAUAGGCAUAUUCAUGUAACUAAGUUGAAAAAUUAAUAUUCUUUCAAGUGAUAGGCUUAAGCAUUACAGUUAAAAAAAAGUUAUGACUGAGGAGUUAUAUCUUGGGGGGAAAAAAGCUACCUUGACAGGGAUAAAAAAAAUUAUUUGAAAAAAAAAUGAAAUACUUCAAUCAACCAUGACAAUAUUCAUAGGCAUAUUCAUGUAACUAAGUUGAAAAAUUAAUAUUCUUUCAAGUGAUAGGCUUAAGCAUUACAGUUAAAAAAAAGUUGUGACAAUCAGCUUAUUCAAAUAUCUGUACGUCACAAUGGUGGAUCUUAUCCCAACUAAAAUGCUUUAAGACAAUGAACAAAACCGUGUAGUUGAACACAUUUCAAUUGUCUUGAUGCAAAUAAUUAUGAGUAAUAUCUUGCUAAUAUUUUGGACCGCUUGUUAGUGAAUGUAACGUACAGGGUAUCUCCAAUUCUUAACUAGGAUUCAUAGGGGUAAAUAUAUUAGAAUAUAUAGUAUUUAAGGCAGAUCAUUCUUAAAUAUUUUAUUAGAAUUUGCCUUGUUUUUUAUUUGUAUUUGAGUUUUUUUUUUUAGCUAGUAUAGUUUUAUAUAUUUUAAACCAGUAACUUCUUUCUCACUUAUUUUAUUAGAAUUUUCCUAUGGAUCUACUCAUCCUCAAAAGUUAGCUUAAGAUUUGAAAGUUGCCUCAAGCUUAUAUUAUUAGUCCAAUAAUAGGGAUGACAAAAACGAAUUCAACUUGACUUUAUCCCUAAUAAACUAGCCUGCGCAUAUUUUUCAAACACUCGGCUAGAUUCAUGCCUCACCUUAAAAGCUUGAUACCAACCCGAAAGCUAGAAAAAUGCUUUACAAUAGAAAUACAUAUUUUUUUAAAUUAGAAUACACAUUUUAAUAUUUAUUUACCUCACUAAUAAUAUAUAUUUGAAGUUCUAAAUCCUUUAACCCAACGUUUAAAUUCUAAUCUAAGAAAAAAAAAAUUUUAUAAAUUACUGUUAGAGUGCAAUUUAUGCACUAGUUUUGCAUUGUUUACUUCCCUUAAUAUCGAUGUUUUGCACUUAAUAAUAAUGAUUUAUUUGUGUUUUACUUUUGUAGGUGCAAUUCUAUUGAUUGGUGAUAAAAUUAAGGUACAAGAUGAUAUUUAAGGAUGAUUGUUCUCUUGGAGAAAUUAUGAGUGUUAGAAGAACUUUGUUGAUAAGGUGUAGGCGCAUGCUGUCAACUACGGACCUGCAGUUUUUAGUUUAAUGUGUUUUAUAUUUUUGGUUAUUUUUGUAAUUACGAAUUUAAUAUUUUAGAUAUUAGUAUUUUAUUUGAAAUAGAACUCUAGAGGAGAAGAGAGAGAGAGAGUAUUUAAGGGAGAAAUCUAUUGUGAAAAUGAGGGAUUGGAGAAAAAGAAAGAAACCCUAGAUCUAAUUUUUCUCUUCUCUCUAUGAAGAACUAAACUUAUUUUUUUCUGGUUGAGGGUUAAUGAAGCUUUGAUUCAUCACUACUGUGAGAUCUUUCUUAUGCUUUAAUUGUUUUAUUAUUUUUUGGGUAUUUAUUUAUUCUCUGAAUUAGUUUCAUGAUUAUGCUUGUUAAUUAGGUAAUUGGCCACUAUUUAAUUAUCAAUUUAAUCUAUUGUCAAUUAAAGGAUUCAUCGUAUGAAGAUUUUAAUGUUUGUGAUAAAUAACAUAGCAGUGAGUUGUGUUAUGAGAAUAAACAAUCUAAUUUAAAUGAAUCAUCGUAUGUGUUGAUUAGGAUUUGGGUCUCUCUGGUUUUUCAGGCUGUCAAUUGAUUAAAUCAUAUGAUCGUAUCUAGGGUUGUCUAUUGAUUAGGGAAAUAACCAACGGUCGUACCUAGGUUAUCGACUAGUUAAGGAGAGAUUGGCUAUUAGAGGGUCUCAAUAGUUAUAACCGGUCUAUUCAUAAGUAAUAAUAAUCUAUAUUUGAAUCAAUAAUUAGUAGUCGAAUCAAGCUGAGUUAAUUCCUUCAACCAGAGUUUUUUCCAAUUUGAAUUACAACUUUAAUUUUCAUUCUUGUUAUUUUAAUUUGAUUUUUAUUAUUGUCAACAAAACCACCAUUUUAUGUUUUACGUUUUAAAAUGAUUUAAAUAAUUACCGAUCUCUGUGGACACGACCCUGCUAAAUCACUAUACACAAUUUAUUUAGAGUAGGAAAUUAUUUUUGUUGGCUUCGACAACCAUCAAUUACCAAGUUGUUUUACAAAUUAAAUUUUAUUUAUAAAACACCUUUUAAUAUAUUUUAAAGUUUAUAACAUUUUAUUUUUAUCAUAUUAGGCUUUAGAAGGAUUUAAAUGUUGUUAUGAAUGGGCUAAAUAGAUACAAAAAUAUAUAUUUUAACUUUUUGUUUUCAAGCAUUUCUCUUGUUUUAAGUUGGGUUCAGGUUUUUUAGGUGAAACCUAAGCCUAACAUAAGUGUGUUUAGAAAACAUGCUCAGGGCGGGCUACCUAGGCUAGGGUGGAGCCAACCACUAGGGCUUGGCCCAAUUGGCUAGAGUCACUCCCUCACAAGUGUGAGGGAAGUGGUUCGAACUCCCGCAGAUACAUUGCAGAGGUUUAAUUUUAAAUUUCUUUCCUUAAAGCCUCAAAGCUUAAGUGAAGGCAGUCUUUCUCCCAGAAGAGGAGUGGGCGUCCCUUGAAUAUUUGAAAGAGUUAAAAAUAUGAGCGGUGUAAUUUCAGAAUUGAUGUAAACUGAUCUCAGUAAUUUGUAUGGUUGUAAAUAUCAUGAGCAAUAGUUCUCCUAAAAAAAAAAAAGGCUAGGGUGGAGCCAAUUUAUUUUGCCACCUUUAGUAUUGGGCUAAUAAUAUAAGUUUAAGGUAACUAUCAACUCUUGACCUAGCUUUUGGCAUAAAUGGAGCAUAUGGGCUUAUGGACUUCUAUACUACGAUGGAACACACAAAUUUAUUGUUGAUUGAAAAUGAUAUUUAACAUCUCGAUGUGGUCCUUUUUCCUUUGCUUCAAACACCAAAUAUCUGGGUAUAUUAUCUCCCUUGCAAACCGAUUUUAAGCUAGAAUAUAGGAGUUGGACUAUUGGCACCCACGCAAUCUCAUCAUACAACCCCAUUUUUAUUUGUAUUUAUUUUAUUUCUGAAAAUGUCUUUUUUUUAAUACAUUCUUUUAGCUUUUAAUUUAAUUUUUUUAUUGUUAAAACUCAAAGUAGUAUUUUAUCUUUUUUUAAUGUUUGGGGGCAAUCUUGUUGUUUGUCUACACACAAAUUAAAAUUUUUUCUAGGUAAUGAAUUUUUGGAUGUCAAUCAUUGGUUUAAAUUAAACUAUUUUAAAUUAUAACUUGGAAGGAACUUAAACACAAAAAUAUAUAACCAGUAAGAAAUGGGAAAAAAAAAUUAUUUUAAGCCUAUUUUAAUUAGAUAGGAAGUGACAGAUAAAAAAUUAAAAAGAAGGAUUGAUUAUGAAUUCAAGAAUUUGUUGGAAAAAAAAAUACUGUGUAUUUGAUUCUUAUUUGUCUUAACUGUAAUUUUAUUUAAAGUGGGGUUUUAUAAGGAUAGUAAAAGGGUACCAAUAGCUUCACUUAGAAAAUAGUUUCUGGUCUAAUGACAUGAGCUUCAGGCAGCUCUUAAGAAAAUAGUUUCUGGUCUAAUGACAUGAGCUUCAGGCAGCUCUUAACUCUUAUUCUAACUUUUUAAUAUGAGUUAGGCCCAUAACAUUCGAUAUGAUCACAUCAUAACCCCCUACAUUAAAAAGAUUUUAAUAUGUUUCAAUUUUUUUCUUUUACUAAUUGUUGAAAAUAAAUAGUAUAGAUAAGGAUAACAAUUGAUUUUUGUAAGCAUCAAGCAUGAACGAAAAUAUUAAAACGGAAAUGUUACAAUUACCAGGAAAAAAAAUGUUACAAUUAUAAUGAUUAUGAUUGUUUAACGAGUUAAUCCUUGAUGCUUAAUUUAUUUGAUUGAUUUACAAUAUAUUAUUAAGGAUUAACUCGUUGUCCAGGUGUUCUAUCAUAUUCAUGCCUAUUAGCCCUCUUCUUAAUCAAAAUACUAGUCGCAACUCUUCUUCUAUCAAGACUGUGUUUUGGCGUUCUCCAGGGGCACCUUGGCUUGAGAUAAAUACGGAUGGUUUGGCUACGGGUAAUCUCAGAAUCUCGGUUUGUGGGUUUUUACGAAGCUGCUUUACUGUGGCUCUGGGCCUUGUUAUGCAAAGAUAUAUGCCAUUCAAGCUGUUGAUAUUGCUUUUUCCAUGGGACGGCAAUUUGUUUGGCUGAAGAGGGAUUCAAAUCUGCUAACUCUUGUUUAUUUGCGGAACACGCUUUUUCAUCUGCCGUGGCAACUCGUACUUAGCGGUUGAACUUUCUAUAACAGAUCAGUCAUAUGUAGUUUCGUAGUCAUAUUUUGAAGGGUAAUUCGGUUGCUGAUUGCUUAGGAAAGGCCGAGUCUAACUGAUUCGAGGCCUUUGGUGAACCUUUUUUUUUUUAAAGACAUUCUUACGUUAAACAACAUCAAUUCCCAAAGGAAUAAUAAAUAGCUUAAAAUUCAACUAUCUUUAAUAAUAUCUUGAAUUUCAACAAUUAUCAACUUGAUCUAGAAAAAUAAUAAAAAAGAUAUAUAUAUAUAUAUAUAUAUAUUGAUCAUCUUCAAAGUUGAUUAUUUCAUUCACUAUUUCAUUAUUGUUUAAUUCAUUCGAAGUUAAUUGUUCAAUAACUAAUUCUUCACUUAAAUACAUAUCUUUUUCUACUAGUUGUGAAA
rnacentral:lncRNA from 1 species